rnacentral:rRNA from 1 species
UACAGAGGUCUCAAGCGUUGUUCGGAUUCAUUGGGCGUAAAGGGUGCGUAGGUGGCGCUGUAAGUCGGGUGUGAAAUUUCGAGGCUUAACCUCGAAACUGCAUUCGAUACUGCGGUGCUUGAGGACUGGAGAGGAGACUGGAAUUCAUGGUGUAGCAGUGAAAUGCGUAGAGAUCAUGAGGAAGACCAGUGGCGAAGGCGGGUCUCUGGACAGCUCCUGACACUGAGGCACGAAGGCCAGGGGAGCAAACGGG